rnacentral:lncRNA from 10 species
CUCCCCAGGGGCCACAGCAGACUAGGGGCUUCUGGAUUAUAAAACGGAGAAGUGGGCGCUCCUCGCCAAAAAAGGCUACCAGGAGCGGGACCUGGAACCCCAGAUUUCCAUCACAACCAAACUCAAAGGGGUUUCCGUGACUCAGAUCAAGGAGCUUGGAAACCGGCUGUGGGAUGUGGCCGACUUCGUGAAGCCACCUCAGGGAGAGAACGUGUUCUUCUUGGUGACCAACUUCCUUGUGACGCCAGCCCAAGAUCAGGGCAGAUGCCCAGAGAUACAGGGUCUUGCUAUGUUGCCCAGGCUGGAGUGAAGAGGCUAUUCACAGGUAUGAUCAAGCUCACUGCAGCCUUGAGCCUCCUAGGCUCAAGCCAUCCUCCCAACUCAGCCUUCUGAGUAACUGAGACUACAGGCGUGUACCACCAUUCCCAGCUAAUAAAGUCUAUUUUUAAAAAAUCACUUGACGAUAAA